GCAAACUUGGUCAUUUAGAGGAAGUAAAAGUCGUAACAAGGUUUCCGUAGGUGAACCUGCGGAAGGAUCAUUACUAUAUCCUUGGGGGUGUGACCUGUCAUGGGCCGCGCCCCUGCUGGAAGUGCCGGAAGGCGUCUGACAGCGUAACCCUUUGUGAAAUACCCUGUUGCUUCGGCAGCCCCUUCCAGGAGCGGUAAGCCUGCCAGCAGUCAUGGAAACUCAUCCUGAAAAAUUUGCACUUCUGUCUGAACAGCGCAGUCGAAUGACUAUAAAACUUUCAACAACGGAUCUCUUGGUUCCCGCAUCGAUGAAGAACGCAGC
rnacentral:misc_RNA from 1 species